GUGGCCAUAGCUCAAUAGGCAGAGCACCUGGUUGUGGCCCAGGAGGUUACGGGUUCAAGUCCCGUUGGCCACCCCA
rnacentral:tRNA from 1 species